AAGCAUGAUGAGGGUACUUUUAAGCAUCUCCCUGAAUCUUUCCCAUCUCUUAUAAAUUAACUCUCCAUUAAAUUGAGAAAAUGAAAUAAUAUCAUUCCUAAGCUU